ensembl:lncRNA
CCAGACAGGAAGUGACAUAGCAAAGAGACUCAUAUUUAAGAAGAGGAAAAAGGAAGUGUCCCUCUUUUCCCCUCGGCUCCUGCUCCAGCGGCUCGAUGUGAUUCACCAGCAAGGAGGGACGCCAAUAAGGCGUCCGAUAAGAUAAGUCCCAUAAAAUAUAUAGAUGUAUGGUAAUUGAGACUGAGCUAACAAAUGAGAAUCCUAUUCAUUGGCCAAGCAGCUUUGUAACUAAUACAAGUCUCUCUGUGUAUUCAUUUGGGCCUAACUCGGGCGGGCGGCUGGUGUAAAGCUCACACGUGGCUGUGGGGCUCAGGCGGCUUUUGGCAAAAAGAUUUAUCGUAACACUGUCAUUCUUCAGAGCUACAGUGACAAAGUGUGUUUGGAUGGCUUGGUGGUUAAGAACACUGACUGCUUUUCCCUUGGACUCUGGUUCAGUUCCCAGCACCCACAUGACAUCUAACAACUGUCUAUAACCCCAAGAUCUGACACCUUCACAGAUACAUGCAUGCAGGCAAAACACCAAUGUAAAUAACAUAAAAAUACACUAUUUUUAAAAAAAGAAAACAAGGUAAAAAUGUCUUCUAACAGCCAAAUUCUGAGGGAGGGGGACUGUUUUUUAAGUACUUUUCUAAAAUAAAUGCCAAAAGAGGUCUACAGGCCAAAGGAAAAAUAUCCCACAUGAAAGUGUGGGAACUGAGGGAAAAUGAUCAAUAAUAAAAAGGAUAAAAUAUGGACAAAUUCAAGUUUUAUUGAAUAAAAUAAUACUGAUUUAUUGAAGCUUCACUAUAUAUCAUAGAAGGAGUUUAAAUCUGUGGCUCUAAGAGGGUCUGGAAAACCACACUAUCAUUUUAGGAUAGAUCUAACAUGACAAAGACACUACUUGGACAAGGACACGGUGGCGGCUGCACUUCUAUUCUUUCACUUUAAUUAGAUGUAUAUUGACUGGAAUUGAUAGGGCAGGCUGUUGGUUUGAGCUUUUAUCCUUCAGUGUAUACAACUGAGACUAUUAAUUUUUCUCUUGGCUCUAUCGUGAGUUUUAAUACAGCCUACCUUUGUCAUUAUUCAUUUCAAGACAUUUUAUAAUUUUCUGAUUUUUUUUUUUUUUUGGUUUUUCAAGAUAGGGUUUCUCUGUGUAGCUUUGGAGCCUAUCCUAGCAUUCGCUCUGGAGACCAGGCUGGCCUCAAACUCACAGAGAUCUGCCUGCCUCUGCCUCCUGAGUGCUGGGAUUAAAGGUGUGCGCAACCAACACACGGCAAUUUUCAGAUUUUUAAAUAUAUUAUAUUUAGACUUUUUAUUUGUUCUGCACAGGAUUCUCACAACCUAAAACAGAGGGUGAUUUCACUUCUGCUAAAGAGAUGCAUAUUCAGGGUGUGAAUUUGUUUUCCCUGCCCUUUGCUUCUGAGUUCUUACAAAAUGUCUACUUCACCAGCACAGGACCUGCAUAUUAUCAUUUCAGAGAAGAAUGGACUGUUUUGUGGAUGGUCUAAGAGUAAACUCAUGACAGCAACAGUUUCUCAAGCCUUGGUGCUUGAAGUCCCCAGUAUUGCUAAAUGUCACAGCUGAAUCACCAGUUCAGUCUGUGAGGUUAGGAUUUCACCCUUAGUAAGGCAGUCUCCACAGGGAACCAAAAAAACUCAACUAUUGUAUUUUAUCUGAAAAAUCCAAGGGGAUCAUAACCAAUACAGUAACAACACCCCCACUGCCAUCACUCCUCAUGACCUCCUCUGUGACUUUGUAAUCCUUCCUCAUCCCCACAGCACAAGAGAUCUAUAUUCCUACUUGAUCAGAGAAUUGAAACACAGACCUUUUCAACUCCAAACUAUACCCAGGGAUGGGGCCAGCAGGCAAAAAGGAGGGCUGCCAUCUUUGCAAGAAUAGUUACCCCUGAUCAUUAGACAGAGGUGUAAUUGUGUAGAAAUAACAUUGGGCAUCUCCAGGUACCUCUUGGUUGUAAAAAGCAAAGCAAGCAUGACUUGAAUAGAGCAGGAAGACAAAGAAAAAAAGACUCCUGAGUAAAUUUCAGUUGGGCUGUGCUGGGCUUUGGAGAGAUCUGGAAUUAUGUGGUAGAGGAAGGCAGGACUAUCUGGUUCAUGCUGGCACUAUCUGCAUGGAUAGGGUAUUGGCUCUACUGAGUUCUGAGUUCCUCCAGGAAGACAGAUCCAUCACAGCUCCAGAGUAGCUGUUGCUUGAAUGCAUGAAGAAGAGGGUUUGAGCAGCAUAAAAGGUCAUCUGUGACAGCCACACUGCAACUGCUGGAUGCUACACACCUAGACACCAGGUUCCAAAGAAAGUCCUAUCACUCUAGCUUCCAAGGGUUCUGUGAGCAACAUCUGCAAAGAGCCUCCUCCCAGAAGAAUACACCUUUCUGGGGUGAGCCACAUCCUACAGCUGCAAGCAUUAAAAAGUUUCAACCAGUUCAACCCACCAAGGGACUCUCUGAUAGACCAUAUUUGCUUAGACUACCUCAGUGGAUUGCCCAAGGCAUACUUGUUCUGCAAUUAUCUUUCUUCCUUUGCCUGACUCUGCUUCCAUCCCUCCCUUCCAUAGGCAGUGGUUCCUUGGGAGUCACCAAAGCUUGCCUGGUCACCAAAGUAACUCUCAUCUGCUCCUGAGGGAUUAGCCUGUGAAGAUCAUUAAAAACCACCAGAGGGGGGAAAAACAACAAACAAGCAAAAAACACCAAAGCCUCUGCAACAAAUCUAACAAUAGAUAUAGUGCUUCACAACAAAUAAAUGCAAAAGCUUAAUGAAAGAAGCAGAAGAAUAAUUUCUGUUUCGUGGAUUGAAAAUACAUUGUGUUUGUAUGUCCACUUCCCUCCGAGUUAAUCUCUAAAUAUAUUGCAGUUAUAAAGCUGAUUGUGACAUUUAUGUAGAAAAUCAAAAGUACAAAAGCAUCCCCUCCUGUACCUGGAGCAUAAGUUAUAGGAAAACAUAAGCUAUAAAGUCAAGAAACCAAGAGAAUAUAGUGGAAAUGGAGACACACACUGAAGUCAAACAGCACAGAGCUCAGAACACAUGCGUGGACAGCUGAUGCAUGACAAGGUGGUCAUGAAGAGCAGGAGCAGAAGGAAUGAUCAUCUGGACAUGCUUGGAAUCAGCUGUUUCCAUACAGAAAAGGGGGGCAAUUUAAUAGUGAUCUCAUCACACACCCAAAAUACUAUUCUAGGUGGACUACAGAGUGAAGUGUACAGAUUAGAGAGAAAAUGUUCCAGUAGGUAAUCUAGAAUCUGUCCAUAAAUUUGGAACAGGCAGAUGGGGCCUGGGUUGUGUAAGAAAGGGAGUGGAACUGAACCUGAGUCUGGGACCAAGCCAGCACUUAAGUAUUCCUCUGUGGUCCCUGCUUCACUCUCCUGCUUUGAAGUCCCUCAGCGAUGAAUGACAACAUACAAACUAAAAUAACUCUUUCCUCCCCGAAUUAUUUUUGGUCAUGGAGUUUAUCAUAGCAACAUAAAGCAAACUAGUACAGGCAGUGACAUAUCACAGCUGCACACAUACACAUACACACCCCACUACCACCAGCAACAACAACAACAGACACAUGGAGCCUAAGAAUCAUAAACCCAUUUAUAGCAGAACAGACCAAAGAUGUUAUUCAUAUGAUUGAAUACUCUCUAUGAUGGAGAAUGGCAACUAAUGGCACUUAGAAUUAAAUCAUGUAUCCUAGAUACUUAACUUUAGAUAAAAUGACAGCUGAAGUGCCCACUGUAUGGUUCCAUUUAUAUGCAUUUUGAAAUUCUAUGUAAAGAGAAGAUAGGAGCAGAGAAACUGUGGCCCUGGGGAGUACAAGAUGAGGCCUUGGGAUACUGACAAAUGCUUUACUUCUUGACACAUGUAGAGGAGUAUGAGGAUGUUUGUUCCAUGAUCAUCUAUUGAACUGUGUGUCUAUCAUCUGUGUAUUUACCUUAAAAGUAAUCCUGGACCUAUGGAGCUGAAGAGUUGGCUCAGCAGUUUAGAGCACUGGCUGCUGCAGAGAACCUGGAUUCGGUUCCCAGUACCCACAUGGCAGCUCACAGCCAUCUGAGACUCCAGUUCAGUGCUUUGAAUGCUCUCUCUGUUCUGCCCCCUGUGGGCACCUGCAUGCACACAGUGCACAUGCAUACAGUCGGGCAUGCAAGCAGUCUGUCAUGCAUACAUAUAAAAGUUUAAUACAAUUAUAAAAAUUAAACUAAGCUAUGGGCCCAGUAUAAGGAAAAUGUACUGUUUGCCUCCUGAAUUAAUGUGUGGACUUCGCUUGCUGUGCAUCAAAUGGGAGACUUGAGCCCAGGGAUUCAAUGUAGAUCCCACACACCCUAAGACAAAUAGUCCUUUGGCAUUUCCACAGUUGCUCACAUGCCUCUCUCACAUCAUGGAGAUUUCCUGACUCUCGGAGGUGACAGACCCAAACACAAACUUUUAUUUCUAAGAUAGCAUCCUGUACAGCACCUUGUUUUUACUUUGGCUACUAAACUAAAAUAGUCACUGGCUUCCUCGGUUUUAAGCAAAGAGGUUUUCAGUUCUACGUUUAUGAGUUUCUCAUUUUUUAAGUGGAGCAGCUUGGCCAACACCACAAACCUAAAUAUUUUUGCUAGUACAAGUACCAUCCGCUGCAGACGAGUUCUUUACAGGAGGAAACCUGGCUUCUCCCUGCUUGGGUCUGGCCAAAUAGACAUCCCGCCAGGCUUACCAUGAAAGAUCAGCUUUCCGACAACAGCAUGAGGAAUAUUUCCCAUCCAGGGCUGAAUGACUCCUGACAGGAGGUUGCAGGUUUGGCAAGACACCACAAGGACCAGGCCAAGCCAAACAUGGAGUGGAAAACUCUGUUCAGCACUGUACCAUAGACGGUUCCUUCCCUGGGGCUGGCUCACAUGUGUGACUGUCUCUGGUUAGUAACAAGACACCAGCACAUGGUGUACAGAGGAUGUACCUCAGCCAGGUGAGGCAGGCAUAGUGGGAACUCUGGGUUCUUCCAAGAUCACCUGAUGCUAGAGAUGCUUGCAUGGCUCUGGGAAGACACCUGGAGCAGAAGUGGUGUUUGCAACCCAUAUAUUUAAGGGCUUUUCCUCUUGAGCAAGGAAAGAAAUGCUGUUUUCACAUCUCAGAAAAUGAAAUAAAACUUAAAAAGAGAAAACUCCACUCAGUCUCCUACAAGACACCACCAUCUGCCUUCAACCUUCUCGUUACUUGGUUGUAAGUUGGCAGGUAGAAAUAGUGUUUCCAUCCAUCUCACAUAGUGACAGGCACACUUUUCAACUGCAACCUUUGAGUGUGUAUUUAUACGAUCUUUAAAUCAAAAUUCGUUCAUUUGUUAAGCAUUUAAAAGUUGCCAUGAACGUAUAUCUGUAAGCUGCCUUCAAAGUGGUGAGCAGCUUUUCAUGGAGAAAGAACUAACACAUUCCACCUAAACCUGAACUUGCCAUGACUUUGACACCGCUUCCCUUGACAUGAGUAACUGGGGGUUCUGUGUUCACUGAAUUUGAAGCAAGUAUCACUUAUCUAUGAUGUAUGAAACUGGGAGUGGUGAGCAUGCAUGCACACAGCAAGUGCAGCUGGAGGUGGUGAGCAUGCAUGCACACAGCAAGUGCAGCUGGAGGUGGUGAGCAUGCAUGCACACAGCAAGUGCAGCUGGAGGUGGUGAGCAUGCAUGCACACAGCAAGUGCAUCUGGAGGUGGUGAGCAUGCACACAGCCAGUGCAGCUGGUGGUGGUGAGCAUGCAUGCACACAGCAAGUGCAGCUGGAGGUAGUGAGCAUGCACACACAGCAAUUGCAGCUGGAAGUGGUGAGAAUGCACACAGCCAGUGCAGCUGGUGGUGGUGAGCAUGCAUGCACACAGCAAGUGCAGCUGGAGGUGGUGAGCAUGCACACAGCAAGCAUGGAACAAGAUAGUCUCUAAAAAAAUUGAAAAUUACACAUUAUUAUAGACCUUACCAACAUAGUGAAGACACGAAAAGCCCAUAACCUGCGAGAAUAUUAACUUUAAAAGUUAUGUAAAUUUCAAAGUAAUAUAUAGCAUAUAUUUAUUGAUUGUAUCAAUUGUGUUUCUACAAGUAAUAACAGUUAUUAAUCCCUAACAUUCAAAUAUAUCUAUAUAUAAACUGACGAAAAAUUUCUUAUAGUGGGUCCAAUAUACUUUUUCCAACUAACCUGCUAAUGUUCUCUUAACUAAAAUUGUGUCUGAUCUACACCUUAUCAUGAAAAAGCAAGAGAGGAACACACAACCCUGUCAAACUGGUAGCAGUAACAAAGAUGCCUUUUUGCCUUUCAUCUUUUUGUUUUAUUGGGAUUUCACAUCACCCUACUUUGUGGUUCUGUAGUCUCAUUGUCACCUCAGUAAAAUUUCAAAAGCCUGGCCCUCCUCACGCCUGUCAUCCCAGGCCAGUUCACUGGCCAGAGUGGAGCUAAGAUUUCCUUGUUCCCAUUAGCUCAAUGGCAAUGGUUUAAGAAGAUCACAUGGACUAUGCUGCUCAGCCCAGAAAGCUCUGUGAUGUAAAUGUUCACAUCCUUUUCUUUCUUAGCAAUUCCUUAAAAUGUGUGUAUGCUUUUGUAGCCCAUGUCAUUCUAAUUCUCAUCAGGGUUCUAGGACACAUGGGUUCUGCUCUGACCAGGUAAAUGGCAGAACUGAAGCCAGAACCAUAAUCUACACCUCUGGUCCCCAGAACACAGAUUUGUACCAUUCCACCUGCUCUGAAUUAUGAAAGAAAAUGAAAGAACAGAGGGAAGGAGGGAGGGGAGGAAGGGAGGGACGGAGGGACGGAGGGAGGGAGGGACGGAGGGACGGAGGGACGGAGGGAGGGAGGACAGAGGUACAAAACUGCUUAGAACUCACUCCUUCUAUUGAAUGAACUGAGGAAAGUGCCUGUCUAAAGAGGAAGAGAGUGGCUAAGUAGCCUGAAAGGAUAUUUAGCAAUUCUAGCUAAGCCCCAGAGAGAAUAUAUUCUGCAAAGAUUUGUGGUGUGUGUGUGUGUGUGUGUGUGUGUGUGUAAGAGAGAGACUGAGACAGAGACAGACCAGGAGGGAGAAUACAAACGUUGAGGACACCCAAUCUCCUACAGCUGCAGUUAUAGAUUCCUUGUGAGCCACCUGACAAGGGUGCUAGGAAUCAAACUCAGGUCCUCUGUAAAAGGAACAUACUCUCCUAGCCACUACUCCAUGUGUCCAGUCUGAGAGAGAGAGAAAAUACCUUUGAUAGAAAGAAGAGAACAGAGGCUUAAAUGAGAUUGUUCUAACCUUGAAGGAAAGCACUAUAAACUCAGGGCCACUUUUAACAUUCAAAUGACUAACACUAACAUAGACAUUCUGGGGGAGAAGUCUGAAUAAACAUUUUCAAGCAUGGCACAGGCAGCUCUGCAUUAAAGCUACUUGUAACUGGUCAUUCACCUCUCUUCCAUCGUCAAGCUACAAAAAUAAUAACAGAGUGUGAGUGCAAAGAUUUCUGAAGGGCAUGGCAAUUUGAAAGACGUCUGUGAUGGGGAAGAAAGACAGUUAUUGACCUGUAAGGUGACUGUAACUGAAAGUCAAAUCAUUAUCCACUUUAACUGACAGCCUCCUGUAACCACACAAGCUGUGCUGCUGAAGUUACCAGCAAGUGCCCUAAACUACUUGACACUGCAUUCCAGAAUCCCACAGUUCAGCCAAGGUCCUCCCAUGACUCUCUCCCGGCUUCAAUUUCUAUUUGCCAGCCUACUGUUGCAGUGUUUCAUGAUGUCACCCAAACUCAGGAGGAAAGUUCUCUGAUGGUUGCUGAGCAAGACACUGAUCUACAGGAAAUGGGGGCUGCAGGAAGGAGAUGUACUCCCAAGGACCUGCCUCCAGUGACCUACUUCCUGAAGUAGUAAACGUCACAAACAUCUAUCAAGAGCAGUUUGUGUGCCAGGCUGUCUGUCUGUUUCCCUCCUUCCUUUGGAAGCAGUCUUGGAGGGUGAAGGUACUGGAAGGAUGGGUCUGGGCAACACAUCCUGCAAGUGACUUGGAGAAUGAGCCUCGGGAUCACUGGGAAAGAAGCCAUUCGUCCUCCCUGCUCAAUGCUCAGCAGUCAUCUCUCAGAAUAUCACAGCAACCCAGAAGCAGAGGAAGAAAAAUAGUAUCAAGUAUCCAAGGCAAGAUUUGUCUCCCAGCAGACAUCAGAGUCACAUACUUCCUUCAGCUGGGCCCCACCUCCUUCCUUUCACCACCUCCUGCUAGGCACCCAUCAAGAGAUUAAUCCAUUGAUUAGGCCAAAGGCUCAGGAUCAGUGUCUCUGGCAAAGCCAUUAGAGACACACUCAAAGUUACUUCACUAAUCAAUCCACUAAGCAUGUCUCAAGUAGACAACUGAGAAUAACUGUCACACCAAUUAAAAAGUUGGGUUGUUUUAUUGUACAAGAUUUAUCUUUAUUAUUUUUAAUUUUUCAUAUGUGUGUUUCUACAUGGGUAUGUGCACACAUGUGCAGGUGCCUGCAGAGUCCGAAGGGCUCAUAUCCCCCUGGAACUGGUGUCACAGGCAGUUGUGAGUCACCCAGUGUGGGUGCUGAGAACUGAAGAGCUGAAAAGUAUGCUAAACCAUCUCUCCACCCUUACCUAGCAAGAGGUUUUGUUUUUUCUGUUUGUUUGAUUGGUUUUGUUUAGAUUCUCAUAUAUCUCAAAGAUUGAGAAAAAAAUUUAUAACCAGCUUUACAAAAAGAGAGGUUAGGGCUUAGACUCAGGAAGAAGCCCAGCUGAAGCUCAAUCCUGCUGAGGAGAGCCCUAAACCUGCCCUGCCCUGAUUACCUGACAUCAACUCCUCAAGCCUGGGUGAGGAAGAGCCCUAUCCCACUUUCAGACUCCCAACCUUGAUUUACUGUGUGACUUCAUGCAUGGCAGAAAGAUCUUGAAGGCCUUGGAAGUAAAAUAAACAAAAAGUAGUCUCAGUUGUUGCUGUAAUUAUAGAUAAUAGAUAGCAUCACAAACUCAAAAAGUUCAGAGUCUUUGAAGCAAGAAUGUGCCCCAAAUUUCCCCUUGAAAAUCACUUUGCUGCCUCAGAUUGUCAUAAUCAUGAUAACCAAUGUUCCCAUUUCAGAGUCACAAUAACCAAUGUCCCCAUUUCACAGUCAUGAUAACCAAUGUCCCAUUUCACAGUCAUGAUAGCCACUGUUCCCACUUAACAGUCAUGAUAACCAAUGUCUCUAGUUCACAGUCAUAAUAAUCAAUGUCCCUGUUUCAUAGUCAUGGUAACCACUGUUCCCAGUUUACAGUUAUGAUAACCAAUGAUCCCUUUUCUCUCCAGAGACCCAUGAUAAACUCUUCAGGAAACAGGCAAAUAUUGAAAAAUAUUUCUCAAUAAUUGAUUUUUACAUUUUCUCCUUUUUUGACAAAAUAUGUUUGUACAUUAUUAGCAAAGAAUUUGUGAGCCUUCUUGGGUUGCCAUCACAAAACAAACAAAUCAUUCUGUAAGGCAUCAGACAUUCUUUUACAUGGUUAGUGUGUUUUGUAGUAUGUGUGUGUGUGGUAUGUGUGUAGUGUGUGUAUAUAUGUGUGCAUAUGUGUUGUGCAUGAUGUAUGCACUUGAUGGGUGAAGUGCUUCUGUGUGUGUGUUUGUCUAACUGGAUGAUAAAUAAAACACUGUUUGGCCAAUGAGGCAGCAUGUUAGACUGGACUAGGAGUCAAAGAGGAUUCUGGGAAAUGUAGUAGAGAAGUGGUGAUCCAGGCCGGAAGUGACAUAGCAAGGAGACUCGUAUUUAAGCAAGGAGAAACAGGAAGUGUCCCUUUUCCCCUCUGCUUUUCCUCCAGCGGCACAAUGUGAUCUGCCAGCAAGGAGGGACACCAAUGGAAGGUGUCCGAUAAGAUAAGUCUUAUAAAAUAUAUAGAUUUAUGAUAAUUAAGACUGAGCUAACAGAUGAGAAUCCUAGUCAUUGGCCAAGCAGCAUUUGUACCUAAUAUGUCUCUGUAUUAUUUUGUCCAUCCACACGGCAGGCAGAACUCGGGUGGCUUUGGUGGAAAGAUUUAUCAUAACAUAUGUGUGUGUGUGUGUGUGUGUGUGUGUGUGUGUGUGUGUGGUGUGGUGUGGUGUGGUGUAUGUGUGUGAGUGGUGUGUGUGUUCAUAUGUGUUCCUUGCACAUGCUUGUGUGUGUGUGUGUGUGUGUGUCUGUGUGUGUGUGUGUGUGUGGUGUGGUGUAUGUGUGUGAGUGGUGUGUAUGUUCAUGUGUGUGUGUGUGUGUGUGUGUGUGUGUGUCUGUGUGUGUGUACACAUACAUAAGAGACCAGGAUAGGAUUUCCAUUGUCUUCUUCCUCAGUGAUUUUUGCUAUAUUUCCUUGAGACAGGAUCUCUAACUAAAGCAGAAACUCACUUUGUGGCUAGGCUGUUGGCCAGUGAGCUCUGAGGAUAUGUUUGCCUCUAUUACCAAAUUGCUACAGGUAUAGGAACAUAAAACUGUGCCUAGAUUUUUGUGUGUGUUCUGGAAUGUUAAACGCAGGUCUUAAUUCUUACAGACCAUGUCCACUGAGCCAUCUGCCAGCCAUCAUUUUUCAUAUUUUAAAAUAUGCUCUCAUCUCAUGCUUUCAUGUUCAAAGUACAUUGAGAUCAUACAUAUUUCUGUUAUUUGUACUAACAAACAGAAGUAAGUGAAUUACUGAAAACAGUUUUGAAUUAUCUUUAAAAUUCCAUUUUGCUUAUAUUAAAGUUAUCUGGUAUUUGGAAACGUAUUUUAAUUGCCUUAAGCCAAAAAUAAUUAUUAAAUGUCUGACUGUCAAGCUAAAUGUGCUUUUCUCCUAACUGCAGCCCACUAUAUAUUACAAUUAACUUCUCCCUUGUCAAGACUUGCUUGGAAUAGAUACUGACACAUGUUUUUAGUUAGUUCUGAAAAAGUAUGUGACCCAGCAAUACUCAGUUUAAAAGUAGAAGAAUAAGAAAAAGGAUUAGCAAAUAACAAUUCACAUAUUCCUACAAAUACUACCAGUAAACUUUAAACAAGAUUUUAUAUGGUGGGGCUGGAGUGAUGGCUGUUCUUCCAGAGUAUGAGAGUUCAAUUCCCAGCACCCAUAUGUUGGCUCACAUUCAUCUGUUAAAUCCAAAGGGAUGCAAUGCCUCUUCUGGCCUCCAUGGAAUCUGUACCCAAGUGAUGCAUAUGCAUACACUAGGGGAAACAUUCACAUACAUACACACAAAAUCAAAUGCAUAUGUUUAAAAGGUUUUGCAUGGAUGCAUCCUAUUAAAAUAUAGUUCAAUCUUGAGCUCUUGCUCACACCUGCAGCACUAACAAGCUGUCCUACUGAAUGGUGUUCAUCUUUUGUACCUCACACUAGAGGUGGCUUCUUCCUUAAAGUCUCCAUGAGACCUUACUUUCAACCAGAGUGAGGAGCAUAUGACUCAGGACACAGGAUCCUGUGCAUCCCUUGCUUGUCCUUACCUCCACCUACACAGUGACUUAUUGACAAGUGGAUCAAUGAAUGUAUACCUCUGAUGGGUGUACUCUAACCUCUGUUCAUGUAAUAAACAUAAGUGGAAUAAGUAAUGACAGAUAACCACAGAUAAAACCUAUAAGCUUAUUUUUGUAUGAAUUAAUUUAAUAUACUUACUAUUCUCAGUUUACCAAUCAGAAAUAGAGAAGUGGUGAGAAAUGACACAGUAUUAAACAAUUAUUGCUAGAGUUUGGUUUGGAUAUAAGUGCUGUGGUGGUUUGAAUAGGAAUAGCCCCCAUGUAUUCAUGUGUUUGAAUGCUUAGCCCACAGGGAGCUUCAGUAUUAUUAGGAUGUGUGGCCUUGUUGGAGUAGGUGUGGCCUUAUUGGAAGAAGUGUGUCACUGUGGAGUCAGGUUGAGGUCUUAUAUGUUCAAACUAGGCCUCAUAGGACAGUCUCCUGCUGCUUGUGGAUCAAGAUGUAGAACUAUCAGCUCCCUCUCCAUCAUCAUGUCUGCCUGCAUGCUGCCAUGCUUCUUGCCAUGACAAUAAUAGACUAAACCUCUAAAAACUAUAAGCCAGCUCCAAUUGAAUGUUUUCAUUUUUAAGAGUUGUCAUGGUGUCUCUUCAUAACAACAGAAACCAUAAGUAAGACAACCACUUUGAACUGGAAAACAAUCCUCUUUUUUCUUUUAUUCAGUACUUUGAUUGAAACCAGGGUGUAGCAAAUUGUAAACAAAUACUCCACCAACCAGAUAUAGUUCUAUUCCUUUAUUCGUUUGUUUGUUUUCCUUUUUGAAGUUGGGUUUCCUUAAGUUGCCCAGGCUGACCUUGAAACUGAUCCUCCUGCCCUACAGUCUCCCAAGAUUUUGAGAUUGUGUGUCCUGGACCAAGGACACAACAUUUAAGUAGAUCAUGGAUGAAUAGUGAGUUUUUAAAUUUGUGUCAUGAGAUUCAAGAUAAGACUGCCCUUGUGACAUUAGUGAGACAACUUUCUGCUAAGUUUCGCCAUUAGGAAUGGUUCCCACGCUGAAGACAAAGUUACCCCUCUUCAUGGGUGACUGCAAAUGCUAAAUGCCACAAUGGAACUAAUUACAGUAUGGCACAGCUGAAAGGCAGGGAUCCCAGAAAUCAUUCCAACCUGGACACAUCUCAACUAAAUAUUCCUAAGACAUGCAUCCAGCUUUGCAAUAUUACAGUCAUAAUUUAGCAAUUAUGCUUUAGUUCUUAAUAGUUCCAAGUCGAGUUCAUUUUUUAACUGAAAUGCUUAUCCUAAUUCAAUUUCAUCAAGUUAAUAAUUCAAGUUUUGAACUUUUACAUCAAGUAAUGAGGUUAUUAAAUGUGUGAUCAGACUCUGGGUAUAAUUAAAAGCACUCAACUCAAAUCAAAGAAGUAGAGGAAGAAUGCUCAGAUUCUGCCUGAUUUUACACUCUUGGAAUGACUGGUUGGCUCAAGCCAAAUCAUCCCCAAACUGUCUUGUACUAAAAAUGCAUCACUCACUGAAAAGGGCAAGUGUUUGGUCAACCUUUAAAGGAGUCAGGAGAUUGCCCUUCAACAAUAGAGACAAGAAGGAGAGCUCACUUAGCUGUUCAGGGGCAACCACUUCUCCCAUUUUGUGGUUUUAUUCCUGGAGCAUUACUGACUCCAAGGCACUGGAUUCUGUUUCUCUGAGUCGGGAAUAAUUAACCUGACUGUACAACCUUGACAGAUGACGUCUGUGGUUAUUUUUAGGUCCACUUUCUUCUGAGUUGCUCACUGGUGCUGAGGCCAGUGGGAACACUCAGGUCCAGGUGCUCUGACUGCCUGCACUAUGUCUGGCAAUUUGUUGCAGCACAGCUAAGGAGAUUUCCCAGAAUGCAAGUUUGAUGCUUAAAAUGAGGCCGCAAGAUCAACAGAACUGCAUCUAAAGGGCAGCCUUAUAACAGACAUUUCUUUGGAUUUUUUUCUAUCAACACAAAUCAUCAAAGCAACAUUACAGAUUUGCAUAGGCAACUUUUCAAAAAGAAAGUUUUUAUUAAUUUUUAAGAAUGUCAUAAAUACAGUAUAUUUUGAUCAUAUUCACCCCCUCUUCUCCUCCUAAAUCCUUAUAACCUAUCCCUUAACCUCUCACCCCUCCUCCCAACUUCAUCACUUCUGUUUUUUAAAAUAACUUUCUUUGUUCAGUUAAUGACACCCAUAUACUUUGGUGUGGGGCUAUUUACUGGAACAUGCUCAGCUCACCAGGGACCACACACACAGAGAAAGCUGACUCCUCCUCCCCUAGCAGCCAUCAACUUAGCUAUGGAUAGGAGCUCUAAACCCUUCCUCAUCGACGCUGAGAUAUUGGCUGACUCAAUCUCAUGCUGGUCUUCUGAAAACAACCACAGCUGAUGUAAGUUCAUGAGUGCAGGCUUCUGUCAUGUCCAGGAGACAACACUGUUUUGCUCUGGUCCUCCCUGACCCCUGGCUCUAACAAUCUUUCUACCCUGUUAUCAAUGCUGGUCUCUGAAGUCUCUGGAGAGGGGUGUGAUGUAGAUGUCCUAUGUAUAGGUGCAUCCAUUGACACUUAUUCUCUGCACGUUGACCUGUUGUGAGUUUCUGUGUUAACCAUCAUCCAUCAUCACAUAAAGAAACUUCUCAGAUGAGUGUAGAGUGCAGUUUGGUUCCAUGUCCAUUCAGCAAAAUAAUUGCAUUAGGUUCACCCCUGGUGCCCAUGAACUCCUCAAUGAUGAGUUCUUAGCCAGAUCUGGAGUACCAGGCAAGUGAUUGCCCAAUCAGAAAGCAGUUGUUUACCCCCCCCCAUACCAUUUGUGCCACUAUUUGUGCACCCAUGGUCAUAUCUUAUCACACCAGUCAUUAUUGAAGCUCUUAGGAAUCAGUGGGAAAGACUGUUGACUUUCUACCCCACUGCCUGCAUAGUAUUUUCAAGUUCUAUGAAAGCAAGCCAGCAGGGAUGACUAUGUAAGUACUUCAAGUCUAAAAGCAAAUUAUUAUAAAUGAAUGUCUGGGGAUUGAUAUGUAAAAUAAGAUUGUUUU